rnacentral:misc_RNA from 1 species
CGCACAUUGCGCCCUUUGGCAUUCCGAAGGGCAUGCCUGUUCGAGCGUCAUUAUCACCCCUCAAGCCCCCGGCUUGGUGUUGGACGGUUUGGCGGAGGCCCCUCACGGGGCCCCCGCCCCUCCCAAAGACAAUGACGGCGGCCUCGUUGGACCCCCGGUACACUGAGUUCUUCACGGGACACGUACUGGAGUAAGGGUGCGCGGGGCACGGUCUGCCUCCCCUCUCAGGGAGAAUUUAUUUACAAGGUUGACCUCGGAUCAGGUAGGGAUACCCGCUGAACUUAA